rnacentral:tRNA from 1 species
GUCUUCGUAGUGUAGUGGUCAGUACGCUCGACACGUAUUAGAAAGGUCUGUGGUUCGAGUCCCGGCGAGGACA